rnacentral:rRNA from 1 species
GAUGAACGCUGGCGGCGUGCCUAAUACAUGCAAGUCGAGCGAACAGACGAGGAGCUUGCUCCUCUGACGUUAGCGGCGGACGGGUGAGUAACACGUGGAUAACCUACCUAUAAGACUGGGAUAACUUCGGGAAACCGGAGCUAAUACCGAUAAUAUAUUGAACCGCCUGGUUCAAUAGUGAAAGACGGUUUUGCUGUCACUUAUAGAUGGAUCCGCGCCGCAUUAGCUAGUUGGUAAGGUAACGGCUUACCAAGGCGACGAUGCGUAGCCGACCUGAGAGGGUGAUCGGCCACACUGGAACUGAGACACGGUCCAGACUCCUACGGGAGGCAGCAGUAGGGAAUCUUCCGCAAUGGGCGAAAGCCUGACGGAGCAACGCCGCGUGAGUGAUGAAGGUCUUCGGAUCGUAAAACUCUGUUAUUAGGGAAGAACAAAUGUGUAAGUAACUAUGCACGUCUUGACGGUACCUAAUCAGAAAGCCACGGCUAACUACGUG